UCAGUGUCAACCUAACCUUCCGUGGAAGUCCACGUCACACCAUGUACAAUCACGGACAAGUCCGGUGAUACACUUUUCUUAAAAAAUCCUUUAAACGACUCUCUCACGCACACAAGCAUAAUACGUUCCAUAUUUGUUAUUCAAAUAACGACCCUUGAGUAGUACAAAUAGAGUUCUAAAUAGCGUGUACCUACGCGUUGGAUCCAUGCUUUGCAAACGAUACGUUUCGUAAGGGCUUUACUCUCUAUACUUAUCAUUGAAAUAAUAACCCUUAUGGAUACUAGUAUAGAGUUCUAAAUAGCGUAUAACCGCUAAAUAGUUUACCGGAACUUUAAAAGAGUAAAAGAAAAAAGGUGUUUGUUUAAUUAGUUGCAAUUUGCAUUUCGCCCGUGCCUAUUGUCAACGCGUUUGUUUUUUUUAGUAUCCUAUUUACGUUGACCUGUGCUGUGAUUGUGGACUGUUUAUUGCUGAAUCGAAUUGACCCUUGCUUUGUUUUUGGACUGCUGAUUGCCUACUUGAUGACCCAUGCUGUGUUUUUGGACUGUAGAUUUCCUUCUCGUCGACUUGUGCUGUGUUUUUUGGACUUAUAUACAAAAUAUUGACUCCCUUUAUGAUUCAUCUGUUACAAAGAAUUUAAGGAUGCCUCGAAAUUUAUCCAGGGAAGAGAGGAACCAAAUAUUGGUUCUUCAUAAUCUAGGACGAAACAUUUUGCAAAUAUCGCAGGAAUUAAAUGUUACGAGGGCUACAGUGCGACGGUGGAUACACCGAGAUUCAGAAGAGGGAUCCGUGGAGGACAGACCGCGUGCUCCACCUCCACGGGUAAUAACACCUGAUCGUGUGGCUCAUAUGAUAGACGUCUACAACUCAGAGCCGUUUACAAAACCUCACAAUUCGCGUUGGAGUACGAAUGUAAUGAAAACUGUGAGACGUGCGCUCCAUCAGGCCGGUAUACAUCAUAGGCGUCCCGCAAAAAAGAUAAUCUUAAGCGAAGAAUUAAAGCAAGCCAGGGUUCGAUUUGCUCGAGACUACAGAGGCUUUGACUUUUCACAUGCCAUAUUUUCCGACGAAAAAUCUUUUAAAUCUAGCCAAUUAGGACGUCAGAAUUUAUGGCGUGUGAAUAACACUAGAUACCAGCCGAAAAUGUGAGUCCCAACAAUGAAUCGGGGCGAAUUAUAGUAAAUAUGUGGGGGUGGAUGAGUGCUGGUGGUCCGGGUGAACUGGCUUUCAUUGACUCGAGAGCAACUGGACAGUCACAUGCUGAGCUGCUGGAAGAAGUUAUGUUGCCUACAAUGCGCACGGUGUAUCCUAGGGAGGAAGUUCCCUCAUUUUACUUCUUCCAAGAUAAUUGUCCAAUACACCGUGCGCGUGUCGUUCAAAAUUGGCUCCAGCAGCAUCCUGAAGUAAGAACUGUCCCUUGGCCGUCUCGGUCCCCAGACCUAAAUCCCAUAGAAAAUUUAUGGGCCAUAAUGGUCCAAAGAUGGGAUUUUAGAAACGAAAGAAGUAAAUUAGCACUCGUCACUCAUCAUCCUCCGAGCCUUUUCCCAAUCAUGUUGGGGUCGGCUUCCAGUCUAACCGGAUUCAGCUGAGUACCAGUGCUUUACAAGAAGCGACUGCCUAUCUGACCUCCUCAACCCAGUAACCCGGGCAACCCGAUACCCCUUGGUUAGACUGGUGUCAGACUUACUGGCUUCUGACUAACCGUAACGACUGCCAAGGAUGUUCAAUGACAGCCGGGACCUACAGUUUAACGUGCCAUCCGAAACACAGCCAAUGGUGUCUAAGAUAUAAGACUCAUUGCAACGAAAUAUGGGACUCACUUCGCGGCUCGGAUUUAUGUCAAAUACUCGUGUCGUCAAUGAGAAAUCGUCUAGACGCAGUAAUAGACGCGGCCGGGGCUGCAACAAAAUAUUAAAUUAUACGUAUGCUUAUGUAAUGGUAUAGAAUAUAUUUAUACAAAAGUAAAUGUGAUAUAGCUUAAUUUAAGAGAUUCUGAUAUUUUGACUAGGCUAUCUAUGAUGGCAAAUACACAAAAUUUUGAAUUGAAAUUGAAAAAGCGUUUAACAAACAAGAUUGUUAUGAGAUUCAGAUUGAGCUUAUAACGAAGGCAAUUCAAUCGUAUCGUAAUCAUUAGACUGAUAUAGUGAUUUUAUAAUAAUAUAUAAAAAUAUACGGUUUCUUUGAGAAAUUGAAGACUGAUUCUUGUAUUUUAAAAUUAAGACUAAUUGUUAUUUGAUAUUAUUUAUUUACCAUUACCACAUUUAUAUCCUUUGUAGCUUUAAAAAUAUAUCGGUAUAAGUCAAUGUGAUAUUAAAGACUGAUUUUGAAGACUGAUUAGCAUUUUUGUAAUUAUUUUUUUCAGUUUUGUUAUAUUAAUGUUAUAUAAUUUGUUUUUAAAAUUUCUAUUUAAACUUAUGCCUCAUAAGUAAACCACAUUAUCCUAGUGGUGAUAUUUAGACUGAUUUACUUCUUUAGAAAUUUAAGACUAAUAAGACAUUUUUUUAAUUACGUAGGUAAUAUGUGAUUUUUCCAUCUAAGUAAACUUUAAAAAUCACUAAGCUUUUUAACUGUCUAGUAUUUUAAUGUCUACUAAAGUAGCACUAAUGUUAUUGUCCUAAAUGUAUUAACUAUGCAGGAAAAAAUACCUAUGUGAUUUAUUAACGAAUUCCAUGUAAUUUUUAUAAAUAUUACUUUAAACCAAACAAAACAGUUGCGGUCACCGGCGCCGCUUGAUCUAUUGUUUUGUGAGAACAAUAACACGAAGCUAGUCAAGUCUCUAAGAAAACCAGUUAUUAAAGUAUAUUCGUAUCUUCAAGCAAAAUGUGAACUUAUAGUUCGUGUGAAACUUUUUAGGUAUUCCGGAACACUUAAGUAAUAAGAAUCUUUGAUUGGCUCAAGUAAACUAUCCUAGAUAGAGCUUUUGUAAGUUUAAUUUCUUAUUACUACAAUACCUAAAAAUUUAUACAUAUACACCGAGAUUAUUAUUUUAGUCCGAUAUUGAUAUUAGUAUUUUGUUUGAAUUAUAAAUCUAUUGUGUUUAAUACUAACGGGUGCUUUGUUUUUUGUUUCAAUCAAACAUUACAUUAUAACAAUGAAAAUCUUCGAGUUAUGUGCCCAUCCACACCUACUUUUGACUAUGUGAACGUGUCCAUAGUUUAAGGAAAAUAUUUUAUUGCAAUUAUUAUAUCAUUUUUAAUGUGUCUUAUAGUUUUUUUAUCUGUGUUUUAUAUUGAAAUAUAAUAUGUUAAUCAAUA